UGAGGAAUAUUGCACGAUGGGCGCAAGCCUGAUGCAGCGACGCCGCGUGUGGGAUGAAGGGGCUACGCCUCGUAAACCACUGUAGCCCGGGACGAAAAACGCCUUAGAGGCGUUAGACGGUACCGGGAAAGUAAGGGUCGGCUAACUACGUGCCAGCAGCCGCGGUAAUACGUAGGACCCAAGCGUUGUCCGGAUUUACUGGGUGUAAAGGGUGCGCAGGCGGAUGGGUAAGUCAUGGGUGAAAGUCUGCAGCUUAACUGUAGAAUUGCCUUUGAUACUGCUCAUCUUGAGUGUGGGAGAGGUGGAUGGAAUUCCUGGUGUAGCAGUGAAAUGCGUAGACAUCUGGAAGAACACCAGUGGCGAAGGCGGUCAACUGGCCCAUAACUGACGCUCAUGCACGAAAGCGUGGGGAGCAAACA
rnacentral:rRNA from 1 species